rnacentral:rRNA from 1 species
GACGACCGGCGCACGGGUGAGUAACGCGUAUGCAACUUUCCUCUAACAGAGAGAUAGCCCGAAGAAAUUCGGAUUAAUAUCUCAUAACAUCAUGAAAUCGCAUGGUUUUAUGAUUAAAGCUCCGGCGGUUAGAGAUGGGCAUGCGUGACAUUAGUUAGUUGGUGAGGUAACGGCUCCACCAAGGCAACGAUGUCUAGGGGUUCUGAGAGGAUGAUCCCCCCACACUGGUACUGAGAACCGGACCAAACUCCUACGGGGAGGCAGCCGUGGAGGAAUAUUGGGCCAAUGGACGCAAGUCUGAACCAACCAUGCCGCGUUCAGGAAUGACGGGCCUACGGGUUGUAAACUGCUUUUUGUUCGAAAAAAAUUCUCUUGAACGUUGUCAGGGGUUGAACGGGAUUCCGACCAAUUAACCUUGGCUUAACUCCGGUGGCCACAACCCGCGGUAAUACGGAGGAUGCAAGCGUUAUCCGGAUUUAUUGGGUUUAAAGGGUGCGUAGCCGGGAUAUUAAGUCAAGUGGUGAAAUCCUGCAGCUUAACUGUAGAACUGCCAUUGAUACUGAUAUUCUUGAGUAUAGUUGAAGUGGGCGGAAUGUGUAAUGUAGCGGUGAAAUGCUUAGAUAUUACACAGAACACCGAUUGCGUAGGCAGCUCGCUAAACUAAUACUGACGCUGAGGCACGAAAGCGUGGGGAGCGAACAGGAUUAGAUACCCUGGUAGUCCACGCUGUAAACUAUGAUCACUCGUUGUUGGCAAUACACAGUCAGCGACUGAGCGAAAGCAUUAAGUGAUCCACCUGGGGAGUACGGCCGCAAGGUUGAAACUCAAAGGAAUUGACGGGGGCCCGCACAAGCGGAGGAACAUGUGGUUUAAUUCGAUGAUACGCGAGGAACCUUACCUGGGCUUAAAUGCAGAACGACGUCCGCCGAAGGCAGAUUCCCUUCGGGGCGGACUGCAAGGUGCUGCAUGGUUGUCGUCAGCUCGUGCCGUGAGGUGUCGGGUUAAGUCCCAUAACGAGCGCAACCCUUAUUGUUAGUUGCCAGCGGGUAAUGCCGGGGACUCUAACGAAACUGCCGGUGUAAACCGAGAGGAAGGUGGGGAUGACGUCAAAUCAGCACGGCCCUUACGUCCAGGGCUACACACGUGUUACAGUGGCCGGUACAAAGGGCAGCUACCUGGUAACAGGAUGCUAAUCUCGAAAGCCGGUCUCAGUUCGGAUUGAAGUCUGCAACUCGACCUCAUGAAGUUGGAUUCGCUAGUAAUCGCGCAUCAGCCACGGCGCGGUGAUACGUUCCCGGGCCUUGUACACACCGCCCGUCAAGCCAUGGAAGCCGGGGGUACCUGAAGUCCGUAACCGAAAGGAGCGGCCUUAGGGUAAAACUG